rnacentral:rRNA from 1 species
AGUGAACGCUGGCGGCGGGCCUAACACAUGCAAGUCGAACGGCAGCACAGUAAGAUCUUGCUUUUACGGGUGGCGGGUGGCGGAUGGGUGACGCAUAGAUCGCCAUCUACUUAUUCGGGGGGGACAACGUAGGGAAGCUUACGCUAAUACCGCAUAUGACCAACGGGUGAAAUCAAGGGAGCUUCGGACCUUGCCCGAUUGAAAGAGCCGAUGUCGGAUUAGCUAGUUGGCGGGGUAAAGGCCCACCAAGGCGACGCUGCGUAGCUGGUCUGAGAGGGUGAUCAGCCACACUGGAACUGAGACACGGUCCAGACUCCUACGGGGGGCAGCAGUGGGGAAUAUUGUGCAAUGGGCGCAAGCCUGAUGGAGCCAGGCCGCGUGCGUGACGAAGGUCUUCGGAUCGUAAAGCCCUUUUGUUGGGAAAGAAAAACUGCCGAAUUAGCCACCGCUGUCCUGACGGUACCCAAUGAAAAAGCUGCGGCUAACUUCGUG